UACGAAGGGGGCGAGCGUUGUUCGGAAUUACUGGGCGUAAAGGGCGCGUAGGCGGCCCUGGAAGUCAGGCGUGAAAGCCCCGGGCUCAACCUGGGAAUUGCGCUUGAUACUCCGGGGCUCGAGUUCGGGAGAGGAGAGUGGAAUUCCCAGUGUAGAGGUGAAAUUCGUAGAUAUUGGGAAGAACACCGGUGGCGAAGGCGGCUCUCUGGACCGAGACUGACGCUGAGGCGCGAAAGCGUGGGGAGCAAACAGG
rnacentral:rRNA from 1 species